GGGGUUAUAGCUCAGUGGUAGAGUGCUCACCUAGCAUGUGCGAGGCCCUGGGUUCGAUCCUUAGUACCACA
rnacentral:tRNA from 1 species